rnacentral:rRNA from 1 species
AGUGAACGCUGGCGGUAGGCCUAACACAUGCAAGUCGAACGGCCGCACAGUAAGAGCUUUCUCUUACGGGUGGCGAGUGGCGGACGGGUGGGGAAUACAUCGGAAUCUACUUUUUCGUGGGGGAUAACGUAGGGAAACUUACGCUAAUACCGCAUACGACCUACGGGUUAAAUCAGUGAAUCUUCGGACCUUGCUCCAUUUAAUGAGCCGAUGUCGGAUUAUCUAGUUGGCGGGGUAAAGGCCCACCAAGGCGACGAACCGUAGCUGGUCUGAGAGGAUGAUCAGCAAAACUGGAACUGAGACACGGUCCAGACUCUUACGGGAGGAAGCAGUGGGGAAUAUUGGACAAUGGGCGCAAGCCUGAUCCAGCAAUACCGCGUGGGUGAAGAAGGCCUUCGGGUUGUAAAGCCCUUUUGUUGGGAAAGACAAGUAGCAGGCUAAUAACCCGCUGUUCUGACGGUACCCAAAGAAUAAGCAACGGCUAACUUCGUG